CUUUGCUUUUCCUGAUUGCUCUUCACAAUCUAUCUGAGAUAUAAGAUUGGAGACAAUGUUCUCUAAUGUGUCAGGCUCAAGCUCAGAUCUCGGGUAAGGAGUAUCUCUCAGCAACCUCAAAAGUGUUUGUGCUUUUGUCCGAGACUUGGCUGUUCCUUGAACAGUAAGCUCAAGGAGCCCAGGGAUUACACCUUCUCUGAGAAUUGGUUCUCGGUAUUUAGAGCGAUCACUUUGACACAUUGUGAGGAGAGCUCCUACAGCAUGUUCUCGGCUUUGGGGAGAUCCACUUUCAAGCACUUCCACCACUGCAAGUACUCCCCCAUCUUCAGAUA
rnacentral:lncRNA from 1 species